rnacentral:rRNA from 1 species
GAUGAACGCUGGCGGCGUGCCUAAUACAUGCAAGUCGAGCGAACAGACGAGGAGCUUGCUCCUCUGACGUUAGCGGCGGACGGGUGAGUAACACGUGGAUAACCUACCUAUAAGACUGGGAUAACUUCGGGAAACCGGAGCUAAUACCGGAUAAUAUAUUGAACCGCAUGGUUCAAUAGUGAAAGACGGUUUUGCUGUCACUUAUAGAUGGAUCCGCGCCGCAUUAGCUAGUUGGUAAGGUAACGGCUUACCAAGGCGACGAUGCGUAGCCGACCUGAGAGGGUGAUCGGCCACACUGGAACUGAGACACGGUCCAGACCCCUACGGGAGGCAGCAGUAGGGAAUCUUCCGCAAUGGGCGAAAGCCUGACGGGGCAACGCCGCGUGAGUGAUGAGGGUCUUCGGUUCGUAAAACUCUGUUAUUAGGAAGAACAAAUGUGUAAGUAACUAUGCACGUCUUGACGGUACCUAAUCAGAAAGCCACGGCUAACUACGUG